CCAUCCUGGCGGAUUCUAAGAUAAAGAGACAAUAGUACCACUGGACGACCUAAAAUACGUGCCUCAGAGUCUACCUCUGGGAACCACGAGGGAAGUGACACGGAGCAGAGCGUCGUGCCCCAGGCUCCGCACCUCCCAGGCUACUGAUCCUCCACAGAGUUCCACUCCAGUCCUACUCCUGGUUGUUAAAGCCCCACAUACUGAAGCCCAGGAUCUCUGAACUGUGGGAACUUCAGACAUCGCUGAAUUCCUCCAAUGACUUCGGUCCAGGAUUCAGGCGCCUAAUCUGGGCCUGGCGCUUGCCAGGCCAGCUUCCCUGCCAUUCUUUGCAAGAACUGUGUGUACAGCAUCGGACUUACUUUCCCAGAAGUGCUUCUGGAACCAGAGUCCACACAAAGGGGCUGUUAAAUGUGCUUUCCUCCUUUUGGCCCAGCUGGCUCCUGAGCUUCAGGUCACACAGAGCUCACAGUUCCUAUCGACUUUUCCCAAAGGAUCCCUGGGCUCCUGCAGGAGCCAGCCCGUCCCUGGGGCAGGAAGUUCUGUUUACUCUGUCUUGGAGCCAGGUGCUCAUCCAUAAAAGGGAAACGAGUCCUUUAGGAAAAGGGCUGGGUGCUUGGAAAUUCUUUAAAAGUGAAAGCCCCAAGGCUGCUGUCUGUUGUUCUGUACUUCGGCUUGAUACAGUUUUUCUGUACAUAAAAGCACAGGCCGUGGGGAUUGGCUGAAGGGUACAUCUAAGAAACAACAUCUAAUAAACAAAAAGUGUGGAGAGAAUGCCGCGGGAACUCUCAACACUGCGCAACUGGGCCAAAUUACUGUUUGUUUGUUUGUUUGUUUGUUUGUUUUUUCUUUUCCGUUGAAACAGAGGUCAUGAGUAGACAUCAGGCAUCUUUCCUCAAUCUCUCUCUGUCUUUUUACAUUUGCUGUUUUUUUCAUUUAUGUUAAUAAUGCAUGGGAGGUCAGAGGACAACUUUCGGGAGUCUGUUCUCUUUUUAUACCUCGAGUUUGGAGUUCCUGUUCAUCGGUUUGAUUAACAAGUGCCUUUACCCGCUGAGCUACCUCUCUAGUCCACACUGCUAUUUCAUCAGCCUUCUAGAGCACAGAUCUGAAGAAAGAGCACUGUUAUGUGAACAACUGUCUCAGUGGUACUCUGAGUAAGAAGGAGUAAACGUUGAAAUAUUAUGACCUUUGGGUCAAUGGAUGGUUGCCUCCAAAUUUCCACAUGGUGUCUAGCAAGGAAGUUCUGUUCUAUCUGUUGCAGACACAUAUGGACAGUGCCGUACACCACAAGCAUGUACGACAGACAGGAAAAGGGUAUCAAUGGGGUAGGGAAGAGGGCUUUGGGAAUCAGAACUCUCGGGGAUUCAGUCGUAACAGGCUAAUAUUAUUAAGUCAUAAAGUAAAUUUUUAGAACUUUCAUUAUUUAUUAGUAAUUGAACAGUAAUUCGGAAUUCUUACCAGGGUUUGGGUUAGGGACUUUGCAGAUCCAAACUCAUUUUACCUUCAUGAUAACCUUGUCAGUUUAGUGUUGUCAGAAUAUACAGAUGACAUCAGGCAGUUAAAGAACUUAUUUAGCAUCAAGGAAAACAGUGACACUGGAAUAGGGACCUUGGGUAGUUAGCCACCAGUGCCCUAGACAUUUUAUUUCACUUCCACUUGUACUCUGUGCCCUUGUAAACACUUGAGAUAUAUUCAUAUUUUAAAUAUAAACAGCAUGAAUAAUGGGACAGCUUAAUGCACUGGAACAACCAUGGAGGAACUGGGAAAACAGCUUAGCUGAGAAUGUGCUGACCACACAAGUGUAAGGACCUCAGUUCAAUCUCAAGCAUCCAUGGGAAAAGCCAGAUGUGGAGGCAAGGGCUGCAGUCCCACUGAUGGAGAAGAAACGGCAGAUCACUGGGGUUUGCCAGACAGCCUAGGCUAACUGGUGACAGCAAAUCCCAGACAGAAGCCAUGUCUUCACUGGCAAAGCAGUACCCAUGGUUUCCCUCUGGCAGAAGCUUCUUCAGACUUCGUUGGUGAGGGAGAGAUAAGGAGGAGGAUGCAGCUGAAAUGCAGUGAUGCCGAGCCCACCAUCAGACACUUGCCACUGCUCCUGGAAAACUUCGGAACCUCAUCUUCUUCUUCACGUUUGCUUUUAUUCUGGGCACACAUGACCCUGUGCCCUCUCAGCUCUUUGACCUAGUGACCUUUUUCUCUGCUUAGCUUUGGCUUCCUGUUCUCACGGUGUAGACUGUAAAGUCUAAACCACAUUAUCUCUUGAAUGGCUCCAUCUCCACCCUCAGACUCAGACAUCCUCUUCACUGACACAUAGCCUGUCCCUGAAGCUUGCUCAGAUAUGUCACAAUCACCCUUCCUCCCUCUAGGCCCUUCCCACUCCUGUUCCCAUCCACUCUUCCCCUCUUAUGGGUCCUUCCCCAUGACUUGUCCUGAUGUCCAGGUUGGAUCCUGGGGACUAUGGUGUGAUCCUUGCACACAUCCCAGGCUCCAUGCUCUUGCUGUACCUGGCAAGCUUGAAGUCCAAAUGAUCCCAACAUACUCUCCCUCUUGUCCUGUACCAGGCGGCUGAAGGCUGCUGAGGGACAGCCCAGCCAGCCAGAAAUUACUGGAAACACUCCAAAACCGGCCUCCCAGGGUAUAACAUGCUGACGCAAUCUCCUCAUGCUUCUCUAGUCUACCUAGUCUCCAACCCUUUCACAAAGCUCUUCAAACAUCCAUGUAGUUCUGCCAAGGCUGGACCUCCCAGUGUAGGGAAUGUCAAGGGGGAGGAGCGGAAAGGGAGGGUGGUUGGGGAAGGGGAUGAGACAGGGGGCUUAUGGCCGGAACUGGGAAAGGAAAUAAUAUUUGAAAUGUAAAUAAAAAUAUCCAAUAAAAAAGAAAGAGGUGCAGUGAUGUUCCAGGUCCCAUUCCACACCAUAAGCUAAAUGUAUAUUAUCAACCAGCGCCAUGAGAAGUUGGAGAAUACUGAAGCAUACGGCGGCCUUUGAAUGAUAACAAUGUGGCCUAGUAGAGUCAUCAGUUGUUAACAGCAGAUGUGGUAGGUUAGGGAGGCUAUGCAUAUAAAACCUAAAACUUCUCAAUUUUUUUGAAGUGGAUUAAGAAUAAUGCACCUAUAGGGCUGGAGAGAUGGCUCAGUGGUUAGGAGCACUGGCCACUCUUCCAGAGGUCCUGAGUUCAAAUCCCAGCAACCACAAGGUGGCUCGCAACCAUCUGUAAUGGGAUCCGAUGCCUUCUUCUGUCAUGCAGGUGUACAUGGAGAUAGAGCAUCCAUGUGCAUUAAAUAAAUAAAUACAUAAAUAAAUUAUUUAGAAAUACAGUUUUAGAAAGACAGAAAAGUUAGUUGCAAAAGGGGAAAAAGAUGAAUUUCACAGUAUCACAAAGAAUGAAGUUGGCUAUUUUCUGUUGCUACAAGAGAAGACAAGAGUGGGCAGUUUAUAAGGCAAAGCAGUUUAUUUCACUUGUGGUUCUUGCUGGAAGUCCAUGGUGUUGCUUAAAGAUGUCACUGGGUUUCUAUAGCAGCAUUCCUUGCGCUAAUUCUUCUAUUGACAAGAGUUAAAAUAAUGUGCAGUUUUAUUUUUUCAGUUUGGCUUAGUGUAUGGUUGUUUUUGCUUGUGUGUGUGUGUGUGUGUGUGUGUGUGUGUGUGUGUAUGCACAGCAUGCAUGUUUAGGGAUGGAGGAUGUCGUAAGAGGUUGUUAGAGCCUCUGAAACUGGAGUUUCAGGUGCACGUAAGCCUCUCAUGGGUACUGGGAAUUGAACCUUAGCCACCAAGCCAUCACUCCAUGCCCCAGAUAAUGUGCACUUAACAUCAAAAUGGAGUUUUGUGUCAUUUAAGCGAAAUUAAGCUGCCCAAAGCCAAGGCUGUCCCCUGAUUCUGUCUUGCUGUGUUCCUCUGUGUCCCCAGAGCUGACUGAGGCUCUGGCGUGAGUUAGGUGCUGACCUGAUGCUUACAUGGGUCAACAUACACAACCCAUGCAGUCCAGUGCAGUAACACUGUGAGAUCCUGUUACUGCUGCCCUCACCCUUAAAGGUGGACCCUGACACACAGGAGUUAGACAGUUUUCCCAGGACCAUGGUCAGCGGGUGUGAGAGGUAAGAGCCAACAUCACAAGCUUUAUUUCAGCCUUGUCCUAUAAAUGACAUGAAGACUUUUCAGAGGGAACUUAGUCUGAUCCUGUUUCUCUUCCUCCCUUUACUGCCCACAUCAGCCAUAGUGUUGGGCACUCUCCAGGGCACAUGGUCCUUGACUGUUGCUGGUACUGACACCUUUCUCUAGGUUCCAGCCCCUGCUGGUCUCAGUCCCAGAUGAGUAGUCUCUAGAACAGGAUACCAAGGUUAACCCUCUGCACUUCCCUGAUAUUCAUUGCCUCCUCACCUGCCUUUCCCACCAGCUCUCGACAUCAGCUAGACCUGUUUUCUAUCUCUUCAAGGCCUCAAGCCCUCAUCACAUCUAAGCGUUUACCAUGUUCCCUGACCACCAACUUCAGGACUUGGUAUAGUAAUCAUUCUCUAAUGUCCACAAAACAUUUACUAUACUAAAAUGCAACUCUGGUUUAAGUAUCUAUUUCUUCCACCUGAGUAUCAGCCCCAGAAGACAGGAUGAUGUCCUGUCACUGCCUUGAUCCUAGCACUUGGCAGAACUCCUAACAUGUGCCAAACAGGUGCCCAGUAAUCUUGGUUGGAAUACCCAGUGAAAAAUAGAAACCAUAUGAUUGAUCCAAAUUACCCUUAAAGUGCACAAGGCCAAGCAAUCUCUGAAAGCAUGGGAAAACAAAUGACUCCACCCCAAAUACAUAGGUAACAAAUUUCCAUGAAGUACAUACAUCCAAUGAUCUUCCAAAAUAUUUGAAAACUAACUCAGUGAUCCCAAAGUACAUGAAAACAAAAAUCUUUCCAAAGUUUAUAAACCUACACCCUUCAAAGAAUAUGGGACCCAGUGACUCCCCAAGACUAUAGAACCCAAUGACCCCAAAGUGAAUGAAAACACCUCCCUAAAGUAUAUCAGUCCUAAUCCCCUAAGUAUGGAAUUCAAUGACCCUGAAAGUCCACAAGAUCCAGUGAUGUCCCAAAAGUAUCUGUGACCCAAAGACACCCCAACAAUUGCCCAAAGUAUAUGGGACCUGAUUACCCUUCAAAGUGCCAUUUGUCUCAUCUUUAGGUGAAUGAAGAACUCAUCAAUCAUUGAGAUGACAGCAAUUUGAGCUCUGGACUUGCUGUAGUAUUUGCAAGACCCCACUCUGCUCGAAUCUCUGCUCCCCCAAACUAGAGCGGAGUUUGCCUGGUUACAGUCAAUCACCAGGCAAGGAAUGUGACUCUUAAAAUACAUGUAUUCUGUGACACAAAUAAGAAAUAAGUGAAAGGUCUUUAAUCCUGACAAUUUCUGUAUUAGUCUUCUUUUUUCCUGGGACUAUAAUAGAAUGUCACAACCAAAGACAACUUAAUGAAGAAAGAGUUUGCUUUGGUUUACAGUCCAGGGAGCUACAGAGCCCAGUACAGGAGGGAGACAGGCAUGGCAGCAAAAGCAGGGAGCCGAGAACUCACAUCUUCAGCAAAAUCACAAAGCAGAGAUGGAAACUGCAGGUAGAGUAGGCUAUACAAUCUCAAAUCCCAUCCUGACCCCUCCAAGGAAGCUUGAACCACCUCAACCUCCCCAAACAGCUCUACCAACUGGAAACCAAGCUUCCUAACACCCAAGCCUGAUGAGGACAUCUCAUCAGACACCACAACCACCUGAAGAUUUCUGCUUCCCUCUCACGAGGCAGUCAAGAGAAGAAAAUACUUUUUAAAAUGUAGAAACAUGGAAGGAAGUAUUCGUGGCUCUGAAGUAGUAAGAAAAGGUAGGUUUCACUCCACCUCAGAACCCUACAUUUUUCUAUUGCUGUGAGACACUGUGAAACAUUCCUAGUAAUGAGAACCGGACACUCAAAUCUAAGAACAAAUCAUUUCAUAAAUGUAAGUAGAUUAGAAACUUUCUAUCUAAAGUCAGAAGAUUCAGCACUUGUAAACUAGAUUGGUAAGAGAAAAUGCAGAAAUGACUUGUCUCUGGGUGAGAGUGAGCUUGCGCAGGCCAGUGGGUCAGCUCCGUGGUGGUCCAGCGCAGAGCAGGGCCACUCUGCCUUGAACAAACAUUGUCCAGGAGAAACUGGCUCAGGGGACAGAGGCUCUGUGUUUCCCAGCCAAGUUCAAGGCACACCAGAGUCCAGUCAGUUGUGCUUGUGGUCCGACAACUGAGGCUAAAGAAGAGCCUAAAGAGUCUUCUGUUUUUCAUUUUAGAGUCAUAUGACUCGUACACAUACUUUUUACAUAAUAAAACAAGUGUUUUUCCAUCUGAAAAGGUUGCAAUUUCUCAAUAAAGACUCCUUGGCUAGGCUUUACCAUAACACGUGGAGAAAGUCUACUUUUUAGCUUCACCUUCACGGCAGGAAAACACAGUUAUAUGUGGAAAGUGAUUUCAAUAAGUCACCCAGUGAGUCACUCACAGGGCCCAGUGGGACAAAUUAGACUUCUGGAGAUUCUACUGAUAGGAAGAAUUCUUACAAAACCCUCUUGACAUCACAAUAGGGCACAAGGUGAACGGUAGAAGGUACUGAGAGCAACACACAGCAAGAGAAAGGGCUGUCAGCAACCGGAUCACAUCAUAUGCUUGCAUGAAAAUUCCAUUAUAAAACUUAUAUUUCAUAUUAUGUAUACAAAUGAAUUCCCCAUUUCAAGUGGGAGUUGCUUCCUUCCUCCAUUUGUGAAAAUUCUGUAUCAUUUCCUUUUUAUUAAGAUCUGAAAAAGUAAGAACUAUGCCUAAUCUCUAAUAUCUUUAAAAACUGAGUUGCUAGAAAAAUAUUUUUGAUAUAUAAAUAUAUAACUUAUAUAUAAAUAUAUACAUAAUAAAAUAUAUUGUAUAUGCCCAGGAAACUGAUACAUAUAAUAUGUAUAUAUGUACAUAUAGAUAUAUAUCAUGUAUGCCUAUCUAUGUUAUUUUAUAAAUGUCACAAAAAGGAGCUGGAGAGAUGGCUCCUCAUGUUAAGAAGCUUCAGAGAACCGAGAUUUGAUCCCAAGCACUAACAUGGAGGCUCAUAAUGUUCUAAAACUCCAUUCCCAGGAGAUUUAAUGGCCUCCUCUGGCCUCUGAGCUCACUGAAUGCCCAUAGUGCAGACACACAUGGUGCAGACACACAUGCAGGAAAAACACCCAUAAACAUAACAUAAAAAGAUGGAGCGGAAACGGCGGGAACAGCCAACCAAGGACUGGCCCAACUUGAGAGCCAACCCGUGGAAGAAAGUCAACCCUGACACUGUUAAUGAUACUCUGCUGUGCUUGUAGACAGAAACCUAAGAUAACGGUCUCCUAAGAGGUGCCAUUCAGCAGCUGGUGAAAACAGAUGCAGACACCCACAGCCAAGCAUUAGCGGGAGCUUGGGAAGUCUUGUGGAAGAGUGGGGGUUAGAACUGAUCAAGUCAGAGGGGUCAAGGACACUAGAAGAAGACCUACAGAGUCAACUAACCUGGGCCCAUGGGGCACACAGAGACUAAACCACCAAUCCAACAGCACACAGUGGCUGGACCGAAGCCUCACACACAUUUGUACAGAUGUGCAGCUGGGUCUUCAUGUGGGUCCCCUAACAAUUGGAGCAGGUGCUGUCUCUGACUCUGUUGCCUGCCACUGGAUCCCCUUUCCAUGCCUGAACUGCCUGUCUGAGCUUCAGUGGGAGAGGAGGUGUUUAGUCCUGUUGGGAUGUUCUAGGGUAGGGUGAUACCCAAGGGGGAGCUUCCCCUUCUCUGAGGAAAAGAGAAGGAGGUAAUAGGUGGGGAUUUACAAGAGCAGUACUGGGGGGAGAGGAGGGAGGAAGGCUGUGAUUGGGAUAUAAUGUAAACAAAAACAGUAAUUAUGGGAAAAAAUAAAAUUAUCUGGCAAACACAGAUGAGAAAAUGACUGCUAAUUUUGGCUUAACAUUUUAAAUAAUUUGUAAUUUCUUAUUACAAAUUAUUUGAAAGGCUUCAAGCAAUUAUAUUCAAAUCUCUAAGUUUUAAUUUAAUUUAGUUUUAGACAAGGUCUUAGUAUAAAUCCCUGGGUGACUUAGAACUCUCUACAUAGACAAGGCUGGCUUCAAACUCUCAGACCCACCUAUUUUGCCUCCUAUGUGCUGGGAUUAAAGGUGUGCAUUAGCAUGCCUAGUCUGAAAUCUCUAACUUAUUAUAACCAUAAGCAUAGCCAUAAAUAGUCAAUAGGUUUCCCUAAUCACGUCAGUUUCAUGCUGUUUUCUUCUGUCCUCAAUUUAAGGCUAAAUAGUGAGAGAUGUAGGGUGUUGAAAUGCACCCUUUGUUGUGUGCAUGGCUCUUUGCAUAACAAACUGUAAGAUUCUUUUCUUGUUAGCUAGGAGGACGCCAUUGGUGAGUAACUCAGGAAAAAAAAAUUUGAAAAUUUGUAAUGGAUGACUUCAUUCUCUUUUAGAUUCUACUUUGAUGUUGUCUUGCAACCAUGCUGAAAGAUCGUGUCCUAAGUUUUCCAAAACCCAGACAGUGGCAUCCAAAUAAAUGUAUAAUUUAAUUGGGUGUAUGUGUGUGUGUGUGUGUGUGUGUGUGUGUGUGUAUGUGUGUGUGUGUAUGUGUGUGUAUGUGUGUGUGUAUGUGUGUGUGUGUGUGUGUGUGUGUGUGUGUGUGUGUGCUAAUGUGCACAUGCCUGCACAUGCUUGUGAGUACAACUCCUGUGGAGCCAGAGUUACCAGGUCUCCUGGAGCUGGAGCUCCAUCCAGCCUUUCUGCUCUGGGAUAGAACUGUGGUUACACACAAGAACAGCAAGCUCUCUUAACCACAUUAGACCAUCUCUCCUGAUCUCACUUUGUGUUUUUAAAAGAGAAAAACUGCUGGGCAUAAUGGCAUGUGCCUUUAAUCUCAACACUUGUGAAGAGAGGUAGUUUGGAGCUCCAGACUAGUCAAAGCUACAUAAUGAGACCCUGUCUCAGAAAGAAGAAAAGGAAACAGGAAAGGAGAUGUAUGUUUAUCUCAUGCCAUAUUAUACACGUCUAAAUGUGUGUAUGUGCAGAUAUGAGUACAUAUAUGUGUGUAUUAAUGUUUGUCUUGUUUUCUUUGGCCUUUUAAAGCAGGCUCUCACUAUGUAACCCUGGCUACCUGGAAACUAGCCUGUAGAUCUGACUGAAGCAAUUCCAACUUGAAGCAAUUCUCUUGUGAAGUGAAAAUUUCUGAUUUUUGUUUUGUUUUGUUGUUUUGUUUUUAAACAACUCAGUUGUGUCACAUGAUGCUUCGCUGAAUACAGACACUUGAGAGGGUGCGAGAUGUUUGGAAAGAAUGCAAAUGGAAUCCCACAGACAGUGAGAGGACGCGUUUGCAUGGUUAUGCCGUGCAAUUCUUCCCUGCUCUUUGCUGGUCUUCGUUGGAUUUCAGUUCGUAAAGAGAAAUGUGCCAAAGAACUUCUCUUGCAAUUCCAGCUGCUUCUGCUGACUCAUUCCACCACUGCUGACUGGUGUUUGGUGUUUGCUAUUGAACUGACUGCUGGUAUCCUGACAACAAAGCGUGGAAUUGUUUCAAGGAAUUAUUUCUAAACAGGUCCACAACGCCCUUUCUCUGUUAAGCUUCUUUUUCCCCUACCUCUGGGUUACCCCUACCGAUGGGUUAGAAAGGAGGUUGAAGCAUUUAAGCACCCUAAAUAAAAUAGGUUUUAAAAAAAAA